CUUUUUGUAUUUUAUUUAAUUUAGUAACCAGCAACCAACAUUAAAGAACCAUAUAAAGGGAUCACUGUUUAUCCUGUUUUUAACACAUAUCUCUUUCAACUUAAUAUCUUGGAUAUUUGGUAUAUUUAAAGCUUUAUAAUGGUGAAGUACAAAUUAUUUUGUUCAAACUAAACUGUCAUUAAAAGAAUAAGACAGUACAUCAAGUUAGCAGCAACACAUACACUUUUGUUCAGUUGGUUAAUAAAUGUAUUAAGAAAUGGGUGUUUUUAUAAUGGCCCUGUUAUAUUCCUCGGUCAGUAAUAAUGGCCUCGGAUGUCUGUAACAGACUUC
rnacentral:lncRNA from 1 species